UUUUAUAGCCCACCGUUUAUGGUAUCUAAGGUGUAAAACUAGCUAAAGGCCUAGCAUGAACUUGUUAAUAUGGCUGUAUUAUUCUCUACAGUAACUCCCCUGAGGUUAUAAAUUUCACAAAUUGGAGGUCCCAGAAGAUUUGGGGACAUGUGUAUGAGACAUGUGUUUCUGGGGAGUACUUGCAGCUUCUCUGGAGGGCCAUGUGGCCCACAUUUCCCCCUACCCAGCAUUGGCCCUGCUAGACAAUUGAAGUUACACAUCCUGAGUCCACCACCAGUCCCUGUGCUAAGGGCCGGGCAUGUGUUAGGCAUUAGGCAUUGGAGCAAUGCAGCCGAAUACGACACGGCUCCUAAGGAGCUUAUGGUUUAUUGUUACCAUCUCCACUACUAACAGCUUCCAUUUACUGUCUGCUGUGCUUAUACUGAAGUAGGCACUGAAUCCUCUCAAUAAUGUGAGAUGCCUAGAAUUAUUAUUGCCAUUUUAUAGGGGGGUGGUCUGAGGCUCAAAGGGACACAAAAUUUGCCCAAGGUCUUCCAGCUAGUAAGUGACCAAGGAGGCAGGAUUCAAUCUAAGUCUGUCUGACUCCUGAGUUAGAGGCCCUCUCCCUUACCCCACACUGUUCCCUCUUCACUUGAGCAGAACAGCCAGUGUCUGCCAGAUACACGCCACGCUUGCACCAGCUUGGAGGAAAUGUAAGGAGGGAAGAGAGGAGACGCUGACAUCAUUGAAUCUGGAGUCAUCUGAGCCAGUGACUUGUCUUCCCAGAUAGACUUCAACAAGGUGUCCAACUCAGUGGCCCACAGUAAAUGUCAAAUUAAUGAAGACAAAAUGGCAAUAAGGAAAAGGAGUUCCAGGCACUGUGACAGAUUUUUUUUUAAGGUUGCCUGUUUUAACACUGAAAACAAUCAGAUAAGGCAAAGGCACACCAUGAUGAGAAGUACCAGGACAGGCAGGAUCACAGCCAGAGCCACUGCUGAGGGGGAGAGACUCCCCACAGAUGGGGCUGAAACAGAAACCACCAACGACUGACCUCAGGGAGAUGUCUAAGAGCUUCUGGCAUGCCUCAGAUGGCAGGCGGCUCCAGCACAUCCCAACACUCUCCAUCACCUCUAGGGAGAGAGCUCCGGCCAAGAGGCUCUUUGCUUCUCUGAUAACUCAAGCCCUGGAUAGCAUUAAAGAUAACUGAGGCUGGGAACGGUGGCUCACGCCUGUAAUACCAGCACUUUGGGAGGCAGAGGCAGGAGGAUCAUCUGAGAUCAGGAGUUCAAGACCAGCUGGCCAAUGUGGGGAAACUCCGUGUCUACUAAAAAUACAAAAAUUAGCCAGGUGUGGUGGCGGGCACCUGUAAUCCCAGCUCUUCAGGAGGCUGAGGCAGGAGAAUCCCUUGAACCCGGGAGGCAGAGGUUGCAGUGAGCCAAGGUCACACCAUUGUACUCCAGCCUGGGUGACAAGAGUGAAACUCCAUCUCAAAAACAAACAAACAAACAAACAAACAAAAACUGAGAUGUUCCUCUCUCGGGAAUGGUUUGGAUGGUCCUGCCUCAAGAUGAUGACUUAAACAAACUUCUUGACCACAAUCUCAUCCUGCCCUAUAAUUCAAUGGAAAAAUAAGCCCGGGACUUCAGAGGACUGAAGGCACUCUCCUCACUACACACCUCCAGUCUUCCCAGGAGCACCUGCCUGUUUACCCCUGUCAAUCCUCACUCUGCUCUAGAAGAGCAGGCAGCAACCUCUUUGCCCUGAGCACUGUCCACGGGGGCAAAGCAAUUUCUAUGAUGCCGCAGCAGUAGGCCUGAAGCCUAGGCAGGAGAGAAAGGGGAAAAGAAAGAGGAAAUAGAGGAGAGGAAACGAGCAGAAGCGGGCUAUGGGUAGAAGUAGUUAAGAGCCUAAGCUGGGAGUAUGUCCUUGCUCAAUGCUGUGUGACCCAAAGCAGGAGACUGAGCACCUCCCAGCCCAUUGUCCCUCAUCUGUAAAAUGUGUGCAUGACAGGACUCCUUAUCUCUUUGAGGUUUGGAGAGAUUUAAAGAGGUCAGUCAUAUAAAGCAUUCAGUCUCCUAAGUAGCCGGGAUUACAGGCACAUGCCACCAUGCCUGGCUAGUUUUUGUAUUUUUUUGGUAGAGACAAGGUUUUGCCAUGUUGGCCAGGCUGGUCUCCAGUUCGUUUCAAGGAUCAUUAAAAGGUUCAGGCCAGGUGUGGUGACUCACACCUGUAAUCCUAGCACUUUGGGAGGCUGAAGCAGGAGUAUCACUACAGCUCAGGAGUUUCAGACCAGCCUGGGCAGCAUGGUGAGAGCUCAUCUUUAUUAUAAAUAAAAAAGAAAAAAUAAGUAAAAGGUUUGAACCCUUGGACCCAUUAAUUCUACUGCCAGAAGUACAUUAUUAAAAAAAAAAUCAAAAUCACUUUCCAAAAUACGUUCAAAGAUGUUCAUUGCACCCUUCAUUAUAAUAUGAGGAAAAUUUGGAAAGCAUCCAGAUGCCCAGAAACAGGGCUUUGAUUAAUUUUAUUAUUCUAUAGCCACAUGGCAAAAUACUAUGCAGCCCUUAAAAUCAUAUUACUUAGGGACAUGGGCAAAGAAAACAAAUGCUCAUGAUAUCAUAAGUGGAAAAAUAUCCUGGGCACAAGAAUACACAUGUGUAAACAUACAUGCUCAGAGAUACAUAUAUACAAAAAAGUCUUGCAAGAAAGAUACAAAAAUGUUAGCAGCAGUUCUCUCUAAUUUAAGCUAUUAUAGGCCAUUUUUCAGUUUCCUUUAAAUAUUUUGGAUUUUUUUCAAAUUUUCUACAAUAUAUAUGCUUUAUUCUUAGAAUUUAAAAAAAUUGAAAAUUCCUCAAAAAGUUCCUGCUAGGGUAGGAAUUUCCUCAGGAACCACCAGCGCCUUCAAACCUGUUUCCACCCCAGCUUUUACUUGUUAUGACCACAGCUGUGGUCUUCUCUUGGCCAAGGGCCAUGUUGUGGAUGGUUCAGGACACAUUCCCCAGUGUGCUGUCCCUGACUCUGCUAGACACUGCUAUUUGGAAGAGCCCAGCUUUUUCCAGAGAGUGGGCCUCUGACAGGGAUGGAAGUACCCUGCCUUGAGGUUCUCUCCACUUGGCCCAGGGCUCUGGGAACCAUCCCACCUAUCUGCACACCAGCAGGGCCUCUGCCAGGGUAUGGUCCUGGCCAUGGCCCUCUUCCCCCAUAGCCUCCUGUGAUGAACAGGGGCAGCUGUUAAUGGAACUUGUCCUCUCUCCACUCUCUCCCCACGCUCCUCCUAAUGGGAUAAGCCAGUCUCUAGCUUUAUUCUCAGACAUUUAAAAAUUCACCCAUAGCAAUAACUGUAUCACAUGAUUCAGAUUCCUGUGGGCACCUCGGUCCCCUUUUAAAAAUUACUUUUCAGCUGGGCAUGGUGGCUCAUGCCUGUAAUUCCAGCACUUUGGGAGGCUGAGGUGGGAGGAUCACCUGAGGUCGGGAGAUUGAGAUCAGCCUGACCAACAUGAAGAAACCCCGUCUCUACUAAAAAUACAAAAAUUAGCCGGGCGUGGUGGCACAUGCCUGUAAUCCAGCUACUCGGGAGGCUGAGGCAGGAGAAUCACUUGAACCUGGGAGGCGGAGGUUGUGGUGAGCCCAGAUAGCAUCAUUGCACUCCAGCCUGGGCAACAAGAGUGAAACUCCAUCUCCAAAAAAAAGAAAAAAGAAAAAAAAAUUAGUUGGCCAUGGUGGCGGGCACCAGUAAUCCCAGCUAACUCAGGAGGCUGAGGCAGGAGAAUCACCUGAACCCAGGAGGCGAAGUUGCAGUGAGCCAAGAUUGCACCAAUGCACUCCAGCCUGGGCAACAAGAGCAACACUCCAUCUCAAAAAAAAAAAAAAAAAAAAAAAAAAAAAUUAAUUUUCACCCCAAAGGACUCCAAUUUGGAAAGUCUGUCUACCAACUACUGAGUGUUUUAAAGUAAUUGAUUCAUCCCCACUUCAUGGUGUGUGACUUCAAAUUAUGACCAAAAGAUAAUCAGCAUGUGACCAUGUGAAGCCAGUGUCAUUCAAGCAAAUGCAAAGACAUGGUUUGGGUUGGGUUGAGUUGGGUUUGGUUUGGUAGACUGAUUUUUUAAAAUAUUAGUAGACUGAUUUUUGUGGACUGAUUUUCAGUAAACUGUUUUUUUUAAAUAUUGAAGCUAGUUUGAGAACACUCUCAACUGGGUGCAGUGGCUCACACCUGUAAUGCCAAUACUUUGGGAGGCCAAGCGGGGAGGAUUGCUGGAUUGGAAACCAGUCUAGGAAACAUAGGGAGACCCUGUCUCUACUAAAAGUAAAAAAAAAAAUUAACCAGACAUGGUAGUGUAUGUGUAGUCCCAGCUACUUGGGAGGCUGAGGUGGCAGGAUUACUUGAGCCCAGGUGGUCAAGGCUACAGUGAGCUAUGAUUGCACUACUGCACUCCAGCCUGGGCAACAGAGCAAGGCCCUAUCUCAAAACAAAAAAAAAAAAAAAAAAAAAGAGAAAAAAAAAAAAAAAAACACUAUCUCUCCCUUCCUAACCCUUUACUUUCUCAGGAACCCCAGGAGAGGACCCAUUAAGUAAAUCCUGUCACAGCAGGGGAUCUGUCCCUUGAAGACAUUUCUUUACAGCCAUGUAAUGAGUUCCUUGAUAAUGGAGCAUAGAAAGAUGACCCAGGGAGGAAAAGCUAUUAUCUGAGCCUCCAAGCCCUAUUUAACCAGGACCUGCAUUGUACAGUGUUUUCCAAAGUCUGAGUUCCUUCCUUAUCAGAAAUGCCUAGGCCAGCUUCACAGCCUCAGCUGAGAUCAAUGGACAUGGCUGGGUAAGGCUGAGCCAUCCUGGCAAGUAAAAACUACACUGCAGAUGAAAGAAAAGUCUAGACAUGGAGAGACAAAGUAGGUCCUGAUUAAGCUUGUCCAAUUGCCACAAAUGACCCUGGGCACCUCAAACCCAUUCUAACCUGCAACCUGCAGGAUCACGGUGUCCUCUUUACUCAGAUUUCCAACUUGGAUCAGACAUCGGUAAGACCCUUGGUCCUCAAGGCGCACGUCA
rnacentral:lncRNA from 10 species